CGCGCGGAGCAUACAAUCUGCAUGCAGUGAGUUCCUAUAAACUUUUAAAAAGCGAGGUUUCUAAAUAUCAGUCGACCGGUGCAUGGUGUUUGUAUCCGUGGGCUGACGACUUUUUGUUGUGGGCAGCACAUGGCGCCGUCGGCGUCGUGGUGGGGCGUGGGUGAUAGGUGCAGCCGAUGUGGCUGUUAUUAGGCCUUGUUUUGUUUGUAAAAAUUUGAGCAUUUUCGUUUGUUUGUAGCAAAUAUUAUUUAAUUAUAGACUAACUAGACUCAAAAGAUUCAUCUCACGAUUUACAGACAAACUGUGUAAUUAGUUUUUAAUUUUUUACUAUAUUUAAUGCUCCAUGCAUGUGUCGCAAGAUUCGAUGUGACGGUAAAUCUUAAAAAAUUUGAGUUUUUGGGUGAACUAAACAAGGCAGCCAAAAUGUUAUUAUCUUUUGUACUAAUAAACAAACUAGUACAGUAUCUUUUUUUUACUCUUGUUGUUUAAAAUAUGACCACUUUCCUACACGUUUUCAAAAACCGUUUGUAGUAUUCAGCCACUUGUGAUGAGGUCUAUAAAAUAAGACUAUGAUGCAUAUGUUUGAAAGUAGUUUAUAUGCUCUGGCAACUUAUGUCAUACAUGUAAUAGUUAUUUACUAAUUAAGCACGUAUCAACCAAUAUAUUAGCCUUCCAACAAAUUAUAUAUACUAGCAAACAUGUAGUAACUUAUGUAUUAGUGUGUUGCAACUUAUUUGUCAAUUUUAGUUUUCAUUAUUUGUUGUCACUUUCAGUUCCAGUUUAUUGUUCUUGUAGUUUUAGUUUUCUUUGGACUAUUUUUUUCUAUUGUGUCUACUUUAGUUUUCAUUGUCUACUUGUUAAUUUCAUUUUUUAUUAUCAUUUUCAGUAUUUUUCAUGAUAAUUUUACUUUUAGUGAUAUUUUAUAGUAUUUUUUUCAUUUUGUUCUUUCAUUUUUAUUUUCUAUUUUCAAUUUUAGUUUUAUUUUUUCUUGUCAAUUUCAAUUCUAUUUUCUUGUAAUUUCAGUUUCUAUUAUAUUUUGGAGUUCUUUUCAUUGUGUCUACUUUAGUUUUUAUUUUUUCAUUUUCAAUUUCAGUUUUUUUUCCAUUUUUUUGAGUUUUCAAUUUUUUACUUUAGUUUACAUUUUUUCGUUUUCAAUUUCAGUUUUUUUAUUUUUUAGUUUUGAGUUUUUUUUUAUUUUUAUGAGUUUUUAGAUUUUAUUAUUCAAUCCUUUUAGUCACAUUUUUUGUUUCAUUUUAUUCUUUUCAUUUAAAUGAGUCUUUAUUUUCUAUUAUUGAAUCCUUUUAGUCAAUUUUUUGUUUCAUUUCUUAUUUUCAUUUAAUUGAGUUUUUAGUUUCCAUUAUUCAAUCCUUUUAGUCAAAAUUUUUGUUUUAUUUCUUGCUUUAAUUUUGAUCAAAAUUGUCAUGUUUUUGCUUGUCUAUUACAAUAUUAUUUUCUGGUAAUUUUAGUUUCAGAGUUGUCAAUUUCAGGUUUAGUUUUUGAUAAUUCCAGUUUCAUUUAGAAUAUGAGUUUUGAGAUUCGGUUGAGUUGUCCUUUUAGGUUCUAAUGAUAUUUCAUUUUUUUGUUUCAACCUUCUAGAGUAUUUGCGAGUUUAGAGAUGUUUCCAUUAGAUUUUAGUUCUUUUGUCCUUUUUUCUCUAUUUUUUGUUUUAUUCAUUUUAUUUGUUAUUUCCCUUUAACUCUUCCGUCUACUUGUGAAGCACUUGCCCUUGGUCUUCAUCGGGCAUUUGGCCGCAAUAGCAUGUUUAACCUUGAUUCACCAUGCUUUUUUCAAGAUGCUCCAUGCAGUCCAGAUCAUAGUUCUGUGGGAUCACACUGAUUAAGCAUUUGGCAGCUUAUUCCAUGCUUAUUUAAAUAACUUGCCCCCUCCAGUUAUACAUCUAUAGUAUUACAUGGUAGUAACUUCUUUCAUAUUUUUUACCCCUCCACUUGUGCAUACUAUGGCCUUGUUUAGUUCCGAAUUUUUUUUGGUUUUCGGUAUCGUAGCACUUUCAUUUUUAUUAGACAAACAUUGAACAAUCAUGGAGUAACUAGGCUUAAAAGAUUUCUCCUGUAAUUUACAUAUAAAUUGUGCAAUUAGUUUUUGUUUUUGUCUAUAUUUAGUGCUUCAUGCAUGUGUCGCAAGAUUCGAUAUGACGGGAAAUCUUGAAAAGUUUUUGAAUUUCAGGGUGAACUAAACAAGGCCUAUAUGUAACAACUUUAGUAUAUUUUUUUUUGGAGUAGCAACUUUAAAGGUGGAAUUAAAAACACACAAAUAAAAAAAUAUUACAUAGUAGUAAAUGGGUUCUAGUUUUGUUGGUGUUGUCACGUAGAACACAUCGGUAUAGGCGGAAUUAAAAACACACAACUACAAAAAAAAUCUUUUGCGAGAUAUUUAGGAAUGGGCCUCGGAGGCAGUUAGGUAUUUCAACUCGGUUAAUGCUUCAGAAUAACCAAGACAGUUAUUUUUAUUAACCAAGGCGGUUACACCAAAAUCAAUUUAUGGAGAAGGUUAAAAAAUAACCACCUCCUAAAAUUUAUUAACCAAGACACCGAUUGGCAAAAUGGACACUGUAGCACUUUCGUUUAUAUUUGAUAAAUAAUGUCCAAUCAUAGACGAACUAGGCUUAAAAGAUUCGUCUCGCGAGUGCAAUUAGUUAUUUUUUAUUUAUAUUUAAUGCUUCAUGUAUGUGCCUCAAGGUUCGAUGUGAUAAAGAAUGUGAAAAAUUUUGUAAGAUUUUUUAAAACUAAACUAGACCUAAGCCUUGUUUAGAUGCGAAAAUAUUUUGAAUUUUGACACUGUAGCAUUUUCGUUUUUAUUUGGCAAAUAUUGUCUAAUUAUGGUGUAACUAGGCUUAAAAGAUUCGUUUCACGAUUUACAGGCAAACUGUAUAAUUAGUUUUUAUUUCCAUCUAUAUUUAAUGCUCUAUGCAUGUGCCGCAAGAUUCGAUGUGACAGGGAAUCUUGAAAAGUUUAAGGCCUAAAGAAGGCCUUAAUCGCUUUUGCUGGUGUGCCUAUAUAUUUUUGGUAUUUUAUGACUAUAUAAAAUAGACUCGAUAAUCGCCUAGGUAUAGUUACCUGAUAACUAGGGGAUGCUCCUCCCCAAGCUAGAUGUUUGCAAUAAUUGGUGUUGAUGAUCUUUAGAGUGAGCUAACCGGCAGCGCUCCAGGUGGGUGCCACUAAUAGACUCUCUCCUUGUCAUAAUGUUGUUCCUGCAUAAUUACUCCAAAAAGAAAACCAAAACUCGAGGCUCAAAUUUGAUACGAGGUUAGCAGUCAGCCAGUAAGUGAUUGAUUGUUCUUUGAGUUGAUUUGAAUUGACAGGAUUCCCCCUUUUUUUAGGAUUUUCUAGUUUAAUUAUGUAGAAAUUAAAUAUGUGUGCAUGAUAUAUAUAACUGUAUUUUUUAUGCCUCCACAGAGAAUAUUUAUUCGUAUGGGGCUUAGGGUUUUCAUAAUGCAAGAAAGUAAAUACAGAAGCUAUUAUUAUUGUUAUUUAUAUCACCACAGUAAAUUUUAGUACAGGGUUACCAUAAGUUUAUUCUUGUGGGGCUUUUAAUAUUUUUUGAUGGAGUAAAUGAAGCAAUAAAGAUUUUUAUUUUCUUUUAUUUUAUUUUUUUAUAUUUAUGUAGAUGAAAAUAUUAAGGUAGAUUUAUUAAUGUAGACAGAAAUACUAAUUAAUUAGAUAACUACCAUAUUACCUUAUGGCAAGAAUAUAAAAUUUAAAGUUCACCGACUGGUCUUCUUCUUCCACUCUUGUGUAUCUCUCUAUCUUGAGAGAUGGAGGUCUUGAUGGUUGCAUACCUCUAGUGAUGAUGAUGUCACCUUUGUUCUUUGAUUUGGCUAGCAGGUUGAAGGAGAGUUUUAAUAGUAGCUGGCAGCAUCUUGCUUAGUGUGCAUGCUCACAGAACUUUCACUUGUAGAAUUAAUAAACUUUACUUGGUGUAUUGUCCUGUUUGCAAAACUAAGGUAGAGAUCAAGUGCAUGGGCUCUAUUGGUGGAAAAUCACCAAAAGAACCAAAUCUAUUUCUUUAUUAAUUUUUUCUCCAUUCUUAGGCACAUUAAAUAAGAUAAAGUUGGAUUACAUGAUUUAUUUAUUUAUUUAUGAGUGGUAAGAUCAAAAGAUUAAGCAUUUAAUGUUGCAUUAAGAUCACAUGACAGAAAAGAAUGAAAUUGCUUAACUAAUGGAAGGAUUGUCUAUCUCUGUAUAAAUUUUCAAAUAAGUACGACUAUCAUCUUCCCAAGAUUGAAUAUAAUGUUUUGACUUGUUUAGUUAAGACUGAGAUUAAGAGAAUGGUGCUAUGAACAAUUUUAAAGAGCAAAGCAUAUUGAGUUAAUCAAUCUAAGUUGUAACCCUAAUAUGUUUGUUUCUUCACUUAUGUGCACACCAAGUUCAAGAGAAGAGAGUGACCACUUGCCUUAGAAUAUUACCUUCAUUAUUAGAGCGUGAUGACACUAACUGAUGAAGGGUAAAUGACUGGUGGUCCUUCCUCUUACAUCUUGAGUUGUUCAUAGACAUCUUGUCUCCUCUAUUGCACUCAUUCUUUUGCCAUCUUUUGCUUCUUUAAUCUAUUGACUCUUUUCACUCCAGUCAUUAUUAUGCCUGCAACAAAUUAGUGGACAACACAUAUCCGAAGGAAUAUACAAGUAAUGACAAGGGCAUUGUUCUAACAUAGCCAAGGGUCACUUUCUAUGCUACAAAAAGAAAUUUGCUUGAGCAUACUUAGCAUAGCUAUUUAUUAGUCACAAUUACUUCUUUCUAAGGGCUUGAAUUUAUUUUCCCAUCUUAUGUUUUAAAUCUGAAAUAUAGGCAUUAUAAAUCAGCUCAAACUUAUAGAAAUAAAGUAAUAGUGGAUUUAGAGAUUGCAAACCAGCGUGUGGAGCCAUGAGGAAGGACUCAGUUGGACUAGCUAGGAGAGUUGGCCUUCCUUCUCGACCUUAGAGGUGAGAGUGCAAAACAUUGCAUGCUCUUCUCUUAUCAAUCUUUCUUUCUUCCUGGCUACGAGUGAGUUGUUUCUUUCUUAUGCAAAAAUAUUGUAUCUCUUCAUCUCCAGUGUGAGUUCAUCUCAGGACUCUCCCACUUUGAAUUUGGAAGUUUUCCUGUAGGGGUUAGUCUAACAAAAUAUUCCAAUAUCUACUACAACAUACUAUCGGCUCAAAAAUCAACCUAGACACCAUGUCUAAUUUGAUUUAGGA
rnacentral:lncRNA from 1 species